CCUACGGGAGGCAGCAGUGGGGAAUAUUGGGCAAUGGAGGAAACUCUGACCCAGCAAUGCCGCGUGAAUGAAGAAGGUCUUCGGAUUGUAAAGUUCUUUAGUCAGGGAAGAAUAAAAUGACGGUACCUGAAGAAUAAGCUCCGGCUAACUACGUGCCAGCAGCCGCGGGAAUACGUAGGGAGCAAGCGUUGUUCGGAAUGACUGGGCGUAAAGGGUGCGUAGGUGGUUAUACAAGUUAGAAGUGAAAUACCCAGGGCUUAACUCGGGUGCUGCUUCUAAAACUGUAAGACUUGAGUGCAGUAGAGGUUAGUGGAAUUUCUGGUGUAGCGGUGGAAUGCAUAGAUAUUAGGAGGAACACCAGAUGCGAAGGCGGCUAACUGGACUGCAACUGACGCUGAGGCACGAAAGUGUGGGGAGCAAACAGGAUUAGAUACCCGGGUAGUC
rnacentral:rRNA from 1 species